AUAUAUGUGCGCAGGGAGCCCGCGUCCUUUCCCUGGUGUGAUUCCGUCCUGCGCGGCUGUUCUCCGCAACACUAGUGGAUUAUCUCCGUCCGCCUUCUCUCCCACCCAAGUGCGUGCCACCAACCCAUGGAAGAUUCGAUGGAUAUGGACAUGAGCCCCCUGAGGCCUCAGAACUAUCUUUUCGGUUGUGAACUAAAGGCCGAUAAAGAUUACCACUUUAAGGUGGAUAAUGAUGAAAAUGAGCACCAGUUAUCUUUAAGAACGGUCAGUUUAGGGGCUGGCGCAAAGGAUGAGUUGCACAUUGUAGAAGCAGAGGCAAUGAAUUAUGAAGGCAGUCCAAUCAAAGUAACACUGGCAACUUUGAAAAUGUCUGUACAGCCGACGGUUUCCCUUGGGGGCUUUGAAAUAACACCACCUGUGGUCUUACGGUUGAAGUGUGGUUCAGGGCCUGUGCAUAUUAGUGGACAGCACUUAGUAGCUGUAGAGGAAGAUGCAGAGUCAGAAGAUGAGGAGGAGGAAGAUGUGAAACUUCUGAGUAUAUCUGGAAAGCGUUCUGCCCCCGGAGGUGGUAGCAAGGUUCCACAGAAAAAGGUAAAACUUGCUGCUGAUGAAGAUGAAGAUGAUGAUGAAGAUGAUGACGACGAUGACGAAGAUGACGAUGAUGAUGACUUUGAUGAUGAGGAAGCGGAAGAAAAAGCUCCAGUAAAGAAAUCAAUACGGGAUACUCCAGCCAAAAAUGCACAGAAAUCAAACCAGAAUGGAAAAGACUCAAAACCGUCAACACCAAGAUCAAAAGGUCAAGAAUCCUUCAAAAAACAGGAAAAAACUCCUAAAACACCGAAAGGACCUAGUUCUGUAGAAGACAUUAAAGCAAAAAUGCAAGCAAGUAUAGAAAAAGCGCAUUGAACAGUCCUGGGCACUACUGGUAAAUUAAGCCCAAAGAUGGGGAGAGAGGAAAAGGAGAAACAAAUAUAGUCCAUACUGAGUAUCAUCAACAAUCCAGACUGAAGUCUUCUAUUUUAAUCUCGAUCCCCUUUGCUGAUUUUGUCACCUGCCCACGCCCCCUUCCAGGCUGGAAGCAAUCUCUUAAUUGCCUAAAGCACUUUUCUUUUGACUGCUAUUACUCAGUGAUCCUUAAACUUUGCUUUCUAUUACUUGUGCAUUUGCCUCACCUCUUUGACCGUGUUUUAAUCACCUUGUAUCUCCCUAGCUGUUGAAUAAAUAUUUGAAUCAAGUAAGAACGUAUGUGACAAUAAUUUAAAAGUGUGAAUUAUGGCAAGGUUUAUUUUCUAGGUGAUAGAGGCAGUUAAAUAAAUUAUACCGGAGGCCUUCUUGAUCUUUUUAAAUGAAUAGAAGGUUCAGGUUACAAGAAAAAUCAAAAUAGGAAACAAAAGUCAUAAAAUUCAUACAUUAAGAUAAUUCUAAAGCAGUGAUAAGUAUAAACAUUUCAAGCUCUUUUAAAAUAUUUGGAGAUGCAAUGCUUUGUAAAUAAUGUGCUGCUACUAUUGUGGUUUCUUCCCUAUGUCAAUAAUUAAAAGGAAUUCUGAAUUUUUUAGAGUUUAGGGAAAUGUAAUAGUAUUCCCCCCUGCAUUUGACUUCUUAAUAUCCCUUGAAUUGACUCCCAGGUUAGCACUGUGCUGGGCCGAGGUUCUUGGUAUAUCUUUAACAAUUUUCGGCACUAGUAUAUAUGAUACUCGAGAGGACUAUGUUUUGUCUUUGAUCCUAGGUCAUAGAGGGGAUGAUGAAGCUGACUUGUUAGAUCAUACAGCAGGCUGUCAAGUUGACAUCAGUGAUGAACCACAAGCAUAGCAUACUUUGUGUUUUUAGAGUGAUUGGGAGGAAUUUGAAACUUGAUGCGCAUCAGUCUGAGAGUACCAUGGAAGACCUAGGUUCCAGUGUUGUACAACAGGUCUAGGGAUAAAAAGGAUUAAAAUGAAAGAGUUGAAAGGACAAGGAGUGGCUCUCAAUCCAUGCAAUAAACAGCAUGCAGAUCUUUGAGGAAUUUCAUACAUAUCUCUAAAAAACAAGUGUUUCUUACCCUUAAUAAUGGCUUUUGUCUCAAUAGGGUGGUUCUCUUCCCAAAGUGGAAGCCAAGUUCAUCAAUUAUGUGAAGAAUUGUUUCCGGAUGACUGACCAGGAGGCUAUUCAAGAUCUCUGGCAGUGGAGGAAGUCUCUUUAAGAAAAUAGUUUAAACAGUUUGUUAAAAUUUUCCGUCUUAUUUCAUUUAUGUAACAGUUGAUAUCUGGCUGUCCUUUUUAUAAUGCAGAGUGAGAACUUUCCCUACCGUGUCUGAUAAAUGUUGUCCAGGUUCCAUUGCCAAGA